rnacentral:sRNA from 1 species
AAAGAAACUAUUCCGCCUCUAGAGCUUC